GACAGAGGAUGCAAGCGUUAUCCGGAAUGAUUGGGCGUAAAGCGUCUGUAGGUGGCUUUUUAAGUCCGCCGUCAAAUCCCAGGGCUCAACCCUGGACAGGCGGUGGAAACUACCAAGCUGGAGUUCGGUAGGGGAGUCUGGAAUUCCUGGUGUAGCGGUGAAAUGCGCAGAUAUCAGGAGGAACACCGGUGGCGAAGGGCGGGACUCCUGGGCCCGGAUGACUGCGCUGAGGUAGCGAAAGCGUGGGGGAGCAAACAGG
rnacentral:rRNA from 1 species